UACGUAGGGGGCAAGCGUUGUCCGGAUUUACUGGGCGUAAAGAGCGUGUAGGCGGCCACGCAGGUCCGUUGUGAAAACUGGAGGCUCAACCUCCAGCUGUCGACGGAAACCGUGUGGCUAGAGUCCGGAAGAGGAGAGUGGAAUUCCUGGUGUAGCGGUGAAAUGCGCAGAUAUCAGGAGGAACACCCGUGGCGAAAGCGGCUCUCUGGGACGGUACUGACGCUGAGACGCGAAAGCGUGGGGAGCAAACAGG
rnacentral:rRNA from 1 species